rnacentral:rRNA from 1 species
UACGAAGGGGGCUAGCGUUGCUCGGAAUUACUGGGCGUAAAGGGCGCGUAGGCGGGUCGUUUAGUUAGAGGUGAAAGCCCAGGGCUCAACCCUGGAAUUGCCUUUAAUACUGGCGGCCUUGAGUAUGGCAGAGGUGUGUGGAAUUCCGAGUGUAGAGGUGAAAUUCGUAGAUAUUCGGAAGAACACCAGUGGCGAAGGCGACUCACUGGACACAUAUUGACGCUGAGGUGCGAAAGCGUGGGGAGCAAACAGG